CCCUUAGAUGUUCUGGGCCACACACGCGCUACACUGAAGGAGGCAGCGUGUACUCCUGGAUCGAAAGAUUUGGGUAACCCGCGAAUCUCCUUCGUGCUAGGGAUUGAGGUUUGCAAUUAUCCUUCAUGAACGAGGAAUUCCCAGUAAGUGCAAGUCAUAAGCUUGCGCUGACUACGUCCCUGCCCUUUGUACACACCGCCCGUCGCUACUACCGAUUGAGUGAUCCGGUGAAUAAUUCGGACUGCGGCAUUGACCGGUUCCCGAUCGUUGCUGCGGAAAGUUUAGUGAACCUUAUCACUUAGAGGAAGGAGAAGUCGUAACA
rnacentral:rRNA from 1 species